AAAACUUUCCAAAACUUGUGAUCAAGGAAAAAAAAUGAAAUACAAAUGAAAGGGAUAACUUACGGUGGACUGCUAGCGGCGGUGCUCUUCUGGCAGCAGGACUGGAGGCAGUCGGGGAUGGCGGUGUCCUUGAGAUCGACUGAGAUAGGCAGAGUAAGCCUUAGCGUUUGAUUAUAGGGGGUUUUCCGGCGGCUUGGGGGGGGCUUAAGCCCCCACCAGCCCCCCCUUAAAUCCGUGGCUGAUUGCACAACCACAAGGGAAAAGCAGGGAGCUACAGCAUGCCAUCUUAGCAAAAACAAAACCCAACCUCUAGCAUAAUUACCAAAAACUUCAACUACCCAACUCUGGUAAACAAAAUUUCUGGGAUAAGAACAACGCAAAACGCAAGCAAAAAUCAUCUUCAAAGCAGGACUUUCGGUUAGGCAUUUCGUCGAACAGCAAAUAGGCACCAAAAUUUCACCGACUUUUUUUGCUCAAUUAAGGUCAUUUUCAGCCCCAAAAGUUUGCCAGAAACACAGCAAACAGUCCAAUUAACACAUAUAGCAUGCGUAUUAAAAAAUCAUGAACAAACAACCGAAAAUUGCAACCAAACACAGUCACGGCAGCCUGUUUCAAAGGCUUGAACAAAACUGAAGUUUUAAAGAAGAAAAGACAGCUUACCGUGCUCUUGCUUGAUGAAAAUUGGCCGGUGAUGAUGGUGGAUUCGGUGAAGUGGCGGCGCUGGCGGUGGUCGACGGCAGUGGUGAUUCUGGUUCUUACUCUCCUCUGCCUCCGUUUUGAUUUUUCCCUAGCCCGAAGCUUCUUUCUUCCUCUUGUUCUGGUUCCUGCUCUUGUCUUCCUCUCAGAAACUCCCCGAAGUUCUCCCUUUCACUUUCGCGUCUCCCUUUUCUCUAACCCUAGCAGUCCAUUUUCCUCUUAGUUUUCUGCUUUGUUCCGCCGCCCCUUGUCUUUCCUUUGCUUUGUUCUUUUUAGCCCAAACCUCUCUCGGCCUUCUCUGUUUUUCCCCACCGAAGCCCCCCUCUCGGUUCUCUCCUUUUUCUUCUCCUUGUUCUCAGCCCCUCUGUUUUCCCCUUGCGUUUUUGCUCUUUUUUCCUCCUCUGCCCGUCAGCCGCCACCCUCUUUUCCUUUUCUCUGUUUUUUGUUUUCGUUGAGCUUCCCUCUCCGUCCUUUUCCCUUCACUCAGCCGAAGCCUCUCCUCAGCCUUCAGCCGCUAAACUUCCCAUUUUUUCCUUUCAAUCUUUCUCUUUCUUUUUCUUUAGCCUCCGAUGAAGCACCUCCUUUUUUUCCUUUUCGUUUUCCACGGUUCCUUUUCAUCCGCCACCCCCUUGGUUUUUCUUUUACUCUGUUUUUUCCAGCCGUCCUCCCCUCUCGGUUCUCUCCUUUCUUUUUUCUCUUUUCGGCCACCAACCAGGUUCCCCCCCUACUCAGCCGCCAAACCCUCCUCUUUGUCUUGCCUUUUUUUUUCAAGCCCCGUUGCCCUUUUCUUCUCUUUCUUUUCCUUUUCAAAAUAUCUAUCCUACAAGUGUCUAGACACCUCACCAUCUAGGUGAGGUGAGGUGUUGUCAAAUGCAAAAAGGGACACUUGUCUCUAUCCAUGAUCCCCAUUUGUCAUUAUUUUUUUUUUGCUUUUUCUUUUUCUCUUUUUUUUUAGUACGAGACAAAAAUAAAUAAUAAAAUAAAAUGAAUUAGAGCAAAAUAAAAU
rnacentral:lncRNA from 1 species